rnacentral:rRNA from 1 species
GUCGAGAAUCUUUCACAAUGGGGGCAACCCUGAUGGAGCGACGCCGCGUGGAGGAUAAGGUCUUCGGAUUGUAAACUCCUGUCAUGCGUGAACAAGGUUGCUUGGUUAAUACCUGGGCAAAUUGAUGGUAACGCAAGAGGAAGAGACGGCUAACUCUGUGCCAGCAGCCGCGGUAAUACAGAGGUCUCAAGCGUUGUUCGGAAUCACUGGGCGUAAAGGGUGCGUAGGUGGCGUGGUAAGUCAGAUGUGAAAGCCCGGGGCUCAACCUCGGAACUGCAUCCGAUACUGCCAUGCUAGAGUACUGGAGAGGUGACUAGAAUUCUCGGUGUAGCAGUGAAAUGCGUAGAUAUCGAGAGGAAUACCAAAGGCGUAGACAGGUCACUGGACAGUUACUGACACUGAGGCACGAAGGCCAGGGGAGCGAACGGGAUUAGAUACCCUAGUAGUCC